CCGUAAGAAUUGCCUUAGAGGGAUACAACUGAACGGUUGCUAAUACCCCAUAUGCUUUCGAGUGAAAUGAUUUUCCGCCUAGAGAGAAGCUUGCGGCUGAUUAGCUUGUUGGUGAGGUAAUGGCUUACCAAGGCGACGAUCAGUAUCUGGUUUGAGAGGAUGAUCAGACACACUGGAACUGAGACACGGUCCAGACUCCUACGGGAGGCAGCAGUAGGGAAUUUUCCGCAAUGGGCGAAAGCUGACGGAGCAAUCUCGCGUGAGGGAUGACGGCCUAUGGGUUGUAANCCUCUUUUUUCAGGGAGG
rnacentral:rRNA from 1 species